ACGGGGCGCAGCAGGCGCGAACACUGUGCAAUGCGCGAAAGCGCGACACGGGGAGCUUGAGUGUCUUGGCAUAGCCAAGACUUUUCUCAUUCCUAAAAAGCAUGAGGAAUAAGUGCUGGGUAAGACGGGUGCCAGCCGCCGCGGUAACACCCGCAGCACGAGUAGUGGUCACUUUUAUUGAGCCUAAAGCGUUCGUAGCCGUUUUUGUAAAUCUUCAGAUAAAGCCUGAAGCUUAACUCCAGAAAGUCUGAAGAGACUGCAAGACUUGAGAUCGGGUGAGGUUAAACGUACUUUCAGGGUAGGGGUAAAAUCCUGUAAUCCCGGAAGGACGACCAGUGGCGAAAGCGUUUAACUAGAACGAAUCUGACGGUAAGGAACGAAGGCUAGGGUAGCAAACCGGAUUAGAUACCCGGGUAGUCCUAGCUGUAAACAUUGCCCAUUUGAUGUUGCUUUUCCGUUGAGGGAAGGCAGUGUCGGAGCGAAGGUGUUAAAUGGGCCGCUUGGGAAGUAUGGUCGCAAGACUGAAACUUAAAGGAAUUGGCGGGGGAGCACCGCAACGGGAGGAAUGUGCGGUUUAAUUGGAUUCAACGCCGGAAAACUCACCGGGAACGACCUGUGCAUGAGAGUCAACCUGACGAGCUUACUCGAUAGCAGGAGAGGUGGUGCAUGGCCGUCGUCAGCUCGUACCGUAGGGCGUUCACUUAAGUGUGAUAACGAGCGAGACCCACAUCUUUAAUUGCAAAUGUAUAUGAGAAUAUGCAUGCACUUUAGAGAAACCGCCAGCGCUAAGCUGGAGGAAGGAGUGGUCGACGGCAGGUCAGUACGCCCCGAAUUUCCCGGGCUACACGCGCAUUACAAAGAACGGGACAAUACGUUGCAACCUCGAAAGAGGAAGCUAAUCGCGAAACCCGUCCAUAGUUAGGAUUGAGGGCUGUAACUCGCCCUCAUGAAUCUGGAUUCCGUAGUAAUCGCGGGUCAACAACCCGCGGUGAACAUGCCCCUGCUCCUUGCACACACCGCCCGUCAAACCAUCCGAGUUGGUGUUGGAUGAGGUUUAAUUCGAGAGGGUUAAAUCAAAUCUGAUGUCGGUGAGGAGGGUUAAGUCGUAACAAGGUAGCCGU
rnacentral:rRNA from 1 species